GACGAACGUUGGCGGCGUGCUUAACACAUGCAAGUCGAACGGAAAGGCCCUGCUUUUGUGGGGUGCUCGAGUGGCGAACGGGUGAGUAACACGUGAGUAACCUGCCCUUGACUUUGGGAUAACUUCAGGAAACUGGGGCUAAUACCGGAUAGGAGCUCCUGCUGCAUGGUGGGGGUUGGAAAGUUUCGGCGGUUGGGGAUGGACUCGCGGCUUAUCAGCUUGUUGGUGGGGUAGUGGCUUACCAAGGCUUUGACGGGUAGCCGGCCUGAGAGGGUGACCGGCCACAUUGGGACUGAGAUACGGCCCAGACUCCUACGGGAGGCAGCAGUGGGGAAUAUUGCACAAUGGGCGGAAGCCUGAUGCAGCAACGCCGCGUGCGGGAUGACGGCCUUCGGGUUGUAAACCGCUUUCGCCUGUGACGAAGCGUGAGUGACGGUAAUGGGUAAAGAAGCACCGGCUAACUACGUGCCAGCAGCCGCGGUGAUACGUAGGGUGCGAGCGUUGUCCGGAUUUAUUGGGCGUAAAGGGCUCGUAGGUGGUUGAUCGCGUCGGAAGUGUAAUCUUGGGGCUUAACCCUGAGCGUGCUUUCGAUACGGGUUGACUUGAGGAAGGUAGGGGAGAAUGGAAUUCCUGGUGGAGCGGUGGAAUGCGCAGAUAUCAGGAGGAACACCAGUGGCGAAGGGCGGUUCUCUGGGCCUUUCCUGACGCUGAGGAGCGAAAGCGUGGGGAGCGAACAGGCUUAGAUACCCUGGUAGUCCACGCUGUAAACGGUGGGUACUAGGUGUGGGGUCCAUUCCACGGGUUCCGUGCCGUAGCUAACGCUUUAAGUACCCCGCCUGGGGAGUACGGCCGCAAGGCUAAAACUCAAAGGAAUUGACGGGGCCCCGCACAAGCGGCGGAGCAUGCGGAUUAAUUCGAUGCAACGCGUAGAACCUUACCUGGGUUUGACAUGGAUCGGGAGUGCUCAGAGAUGGGUGUGCCUCUUUUGGGGUCGGUUCACAGGUGGUGCAUGCCUGUCGUCAGCUCGUGUCGUGAGAUGUUGGGUUAAGUCCCGCAACGAGCGCAACCCUUGUUCACUGUUGCCAGCACGUUAUGGUGGGGACUCAGUGGAGACCGCCGGGGUCAACUCGGAGGAAGGUGGGGAUGACGUCAAGUCCUCAUGCCCCUUAUGUCCAGGGCUUCACGCAUGCUACAAUGGCUGGUACAGAGAGUGGCGAGCCUGUGAGGGUGAGCGAAUCUCGGAAAGCCGGUCUCAGUUCGGAUUGGGGUCUGCAAUUCGACCUCAUGAAGUCGGAGUCGCUAGUAAUCGCAGAUCAGCAACGCUGCGGUGAAUACGUUCCCGGGGCU
rnacentral:rRNA from 1 species